GGUGCGACAUUUGUUGACAUUAAAUUUUCAAAUGCACAAAUUUAAAAAUUUUAAAUUUCCCUCCUUACAUCUGUUUCAAAAAUCACUUUCUUUUCCUGAAAAAAAAAAACAAAAAGUAUAUAAAUAAAUAAAUACUUAUUAUUCAACUGAUAAAGUAAAACCGUUACUUGUUAAGAAUGCAGUUGAGAUCGAUUUCGUAAUAAUUUAUGUCAGAAGAUGCGCCGCAUCUUAAUCAACGAGCAUGAAAUCCAGGGUUGACUCCCGCGCGAACGUGGGCGUCACCUAUGAAGUAACACCAGCAAUGACAUCUCGGGAUGCUCUUGAUUUCUCUAAUUUCUACAUACAUACAUCCAUUAAAUAAAUAUACAAGACAGUUAUUGCAAGAUAAAGAUAAAUAUGAAUUGCAAACACUAAACAUUUUAAAGUUUAACUACCACUUGCAUGAGCUAGAUUUUAAAUAUUAUUUUA